rnacentral:rRNA from 1 species
UACGAAGGAGGCGAGCGUUGUUCGGAAUUACUGGGCGUAAAGCGCGCGUAGGCGGACCUGCAAGUCGGGGGUGAAAGCCCGAGGCUCAACCUCGGAACUGCCUUCGAUACUGCGGGUCUCGAGUCCGGGAGAGGUGAGUGGAAUUCCUAGUGUAGAGGUGAAAUUCGUAGAUAUUAGGAAGAACACCAGUGGCGAAGGCGGCUCACUGGCCCGGUACUGACGCUGAGGCGCGAAAGCGUGGGGAGCAAACAGG